rnacentral:lncRNA from 1 species
GUCUCAGAACUUGAUAGAUUUGAUAACCACCUAAUUGCCAUCAAAAAAUUCUAUUCAAGAAUAAUAUGGGAUGCCUCAAGGUAUUUCAUCGCAUCCAGUAAACUUUCGCAAGUAGUACACAAUUUUGUUAUUAGUGCUAUUACAACAAAAAGUUUAAUUCCAUCUGCCACCAAUAAUUCACCACUUGAACUUCUAAUAACAAAGGUGGAUCCUCUCAAAAAAAAAAUAGUCGGUCGAGAGAAUAUAAACUUCGCAGCAUAGGAACCAUUAUUUUUCCUUGCUAUCAAAGAUUUUUUUAAAGCAGCUGCGCAAAUAAAUUUUUGGGCCGGAGAAGCAUCUCUCAUCAAAAUCAAUUUAGGACACAAUGAGAGUGAUGGCUCUCAAAAAAGUUGAAGUCGGUCUGAGAGAAUAUAAACUUGGCAGCAUAAAACUAUUGUUUUUCCUUGCCAUCAAAGGUUUCUUUAAAGCAGCUGCGUAAAUAAAAUUUUGGGCUAGAGAAGCAGCUCUGAUCAAAAUCAGCCUAGGACACAGUGAACUCUUGUAAGGAACGGUGGAAGAAGACAUCACAAUGUUGCCUAUUUUCAUCAUAUUACUUUGAGGUGCAGGUUUUUCCAACGUGUUCCGCUAUCACUAGCCUUGUUAUCCAAAACUAAAGUUUUACCUGGUGCACGUGGAGAACCCACACCUUUAGCUUUGAUGGGCCCCAAAAGUAAUAUUCUAAUACCAAAGAACCAUACGUGAUGAUUGAUUCCGGUUGGCGGGGGUGGGUUUGCGGCGAGGAGAUGCAACGAGGAAAAAGCAUAGUUUCAAAUAACAUUUCAUCACCAUUGUCACAUCAUAACGGCAAACCUUCCCUGAAGCCAUCAUUACUACCAUUAUGUAUCUAAAAAUUGUCUCUUUCUACUUUUUAUAUCAAACUAAUUGUUGAAAUAAUGGCGAGCUACAGGAGAACAAUGGAUGGAAAAAUAACAAUCAUUUUAGGAGAGAAAUUUUUUAAAAGUUUUUUGUUAUCAUAAUAGAUCAUUAUCUUAACAAAUAAUAGCAUGUAAUAAAAGAUAAUAACUAUAAUAACUAUAAAGCUGUUAUUUAAUAUAUAUAUAUAUAUAUUUACGAAGUAUUCUAUGAUAAUUGAUAGUUAUUAUUAUCAGAUGGAUGGCCAUCAAAUAAAAUAAUCUUAUGCUAUAUAGAUAAUCUUUUUAGAUGUUUAUCUUUGGAUGACGAUACCAUACACCAUUAUCCUAUAUCUUAUUAAUGGAUGGUAUGAAAAAAGUAGGAUCUAGAUGGGCAAUUGAUAACUAAAUUUUAUUUUUUAUCAAAUAAAUGUUACUUCAUUUUCUCUUUUACCGUAAUUUAGAGAGAUGGCCGUUCAUCUGAAAAUAAGCAAAAAAAAUAUUUUUUAAAUAAUAGCUUUAUAAGCAUCCGGCAAAAUAGCAUAAAAAUAUUAUAGUUAUUAUCUUUUAUUAAACGCUAUUACAUACGCAUGAAAGUCAUGGAUUUUUUUUUCUUACGUAAAGAACGAAUCUACUGUGGAGGACAGAAGGGUGACGUAACGAGCAGAGGUUUGACUGUUGACCGCCGACAUAUCCCAUCGGUGUAUCUGUCCCGGCUUUUUGUCUUUGCUCAUCUCGUGGACAAGAGUCCGAUUCCGGACGCAGCACAACUGGCUCUGAUGUAACAUGUCGAAGUGCGGAUCCGGGGUGCACGGAGACAUGAUGUUAUGGUGAUUUGACCCACUGCGAGCCAUCCAAUCAUCAUCAGAUGGGUCCCGAUCGUGCGGCCUGGUGAUGGCGAAAAGUUUGAUUUUCCGCCGCGGCAGCAUGAUGUUUUUUGAUAAUUUCCGAGUCCUCUUGAUUCAUGACAUCCACCAAUAAUGGAGUGAAAUGUCGGAAAAGCUGAGCAAAUCCUCUGCUCACUCGGAAAAAUCACUCCGAAAAGUCACCAUAGCUGCCUCGCACCAUGCACUCUGUGCUUCAUCACAUGGCACAAUUCACAAUGCCAAUUCGAAAACAGGAGCAAGAGACCACAAGCCAGAUGAGUGAUUUUUUGAGCCACAAAUCUGGGUUACAAACGUUUUUGUGCAAUAAAUAGAAUAUGUGAAAAAAAUGCACUCAAUGUUGCAUUGUUGCACACAUGUAUUUAUUCAAGAAGAAAGCAUUAGUUGUUAAAUUUUUCUAUCAAUUUGUAAGAGUGGUGUGGAGGAAUGUCUUCAUUGAAAUAAGAGUAUAUAUGUAUGUAUGCAUGUAUCGUGCUGAUAUCAAAUGUUUCUAACAAAAGGGGGAUAAGGAAACAUGAAAUUAUGGAUAAAAUUCAAGUAGAAUUUGCACUAUAACCCGUAGCAUCGGUUGGUGUGGCACCAGAAAUGCUCAUGUUAUCAUAGACUGGUAUAUUCAUGGGUCGAUGAUAUGCAUGCGAAAAGAUAAAAAUAACUUUAAAACUCAGAAACUUGGAUGCGCGUAAGAGUAAUUGUUUGUAUACCUCAACACAUACCAAGAUUGGGUUUUGUGAGAAAAUUGGGUGUAAAAUAGACAUUUUGGGCUCCAAAUGAACUAAGAACUCCUUGUCUAUGACAUAGCAAUGAUGUAUGCAUACAUAUCAUUAGGGCCAAUCAAGAAACUGAAUUUACUUGCUCAUGAGAUAUUAUACAUUAAUAAGAAUAGCUGAGGGGUCAAAGGAAAAAGAAAGAAAUGCACAUUGAAAAUUAUGAUAUGGUUGUUGCUCCACUAAUCACAAAGUUUUUUCAAGAUGCAAGCUCCACUUUGACAAAGUGAUCGCUAAUAUGCCUAAAACUUUUGGUUUAUAGGUCCACGGCGUUCUAUGAUUCUUUCAGCAAUAUUAUCCUCUAGCAUUUUCUCUUGAGACGUUCCAUUGCAUGGGAAACGUCACAAAGAUAAGCGAGCUGGUAAACAAAACUCUAAAAUGAUCUCAAUAUAUAAAAAUAAUGCUAUGGUGACAAUUUAUAUGACAAAAAUUUCUUUCAACAAUAAAUACCACCAUUAGAAUGUGGUGCUCAUCUCUCCCCAUUUUCUAAAGAAAGCGUUGAGAAAUUUUAAUGGAAUGCUCACCUGUAUAUAAAAAUUACAAAUGUUCAAAAACAUCAUAGUUUUCAUAUUUUCCAUUUUUCUUAUAUAUCUCUAUAAAAUGGCAUGAAAUGGUUCCUCUUUUGUAAAAUCCACCCACUUUUUGAAUACCUGCUCAAUACUCCAGGAUACAUGUGAUGGAAAAUAAUUCGCAGCAUGAUUCAGAGUCUACUGGAUUCCACUUUCAUGCCUUCAAGUUUGUUGGUAGCCAUGAGUUCAAAUCAGUGCAAGAGUGUGAGUACUAGAGCUACGUGGGUAGGCUAACUGCUCUGCCCACAAGAUUUGUCAAUGAGUGGGUUUCAAUUAAGGCCCACACAAGCCCAAUUUGCAAACAGUUGGAUUUGAGCUGUGUGAAAAGUACAAGGUCUUUUUAGCAAAAAAAAGAGAGUAUAAGGUCUAUUUCACAGCUAGACAAGUAUAUUUACUAAAAAACUCACACCAAAACCUGAUUUACGAGAAGAAUAAGCAUUGAAGAGGCAUAGCGGGGGGGAGAGGGGGAGUGGGGGAAGGGGAGGGGAGAAAAAAUUGGAUUAAAGUUCUCCUUAAUUGUUCAUAAAACCACCAAUCCUCUUUUUAGUACAUGACAACCUCUCAUUUGUUUUCAAGUACGAAGAGAGCAAAUACUAGCCCAAAAACUCUUUAUUAAUAUCAUAAAUUAGAUUUGUGUCUAAUAAUCAAAUUGAUCACAAUGAAUAUCCACGCGUAAAAUUUGUUUCUUGAUGGUUUUAUAAAAAUCAAAUCUAAAAUCUCUGGUUACCAAGCAAAGGGGUAUAAACACUGGGUUUUCCAUUAGAUGUUUUAAAUGCUUUAUGGUUACAAUCCCAUUCUUAACCAUAAUUUUCAGUUUAUACUUUUUUUACUGUUCUCUUGCAUCAAUUUCCCCUGAUGGCAACUAUUGGGAAGAGUUAUUUAGCUAUCAUAACUUGGAUAAGCAUAAUUGGUAGGUAUUACACAGGAAAAAUCAUCAAUUUCAGCAAAGUGAACUUACCCCUUGUAUUUCUUCUCCAGCUUAUAUUUCCUCAAGCGAGAUUCUGGAAAAGACAGAAAUAGGAAGACAUGUAUCCAAAAUGAACAAACUAUAGGUACAAACUGUAAAUGCUAGUAACAGGCAAUGGGCUUUUACCUUAUCAAAAAGGAGAUCCCGAUUCGCUCUCAGAUACAGGACCAGACUCCCCAAAACAAAAUAUUUCAACAGAUUAUUUCACUGCUUCCAUGCAAUCUUUCUGUAAAUCUAUACAUUUUUUCUCCCUUUUUCAAUCUUUCAAGCUGGAAACAGAGACCUCUAUCAUGGUCAUCCUAGGUCUUCCCUAAACAGGGAGUGCCCAUAUAAAAAUACAAGAAAGAUACUUCGGCUUACAAAUUCCAACAUUUGUAAGCUGUAACUGUUCUGACAUUUGCAACAAGCCAUUGAAGUCUUUUUCUACAAUUCAGUUAUCAAAGCACUGGUAAAUAUUGUCUGCAUUGUCUGAAGUGAUCCGACAAAUGUAAAACUGGCAUCAACAUAUUCAUCCAUGCCUAGCCAUCAUGUUAUCAUAGUAUAGCUGUUUUAGCAUUUUACGCAUGGCUGAUUCUAAGAUCUGGCAGCUUCUCAGAGGUUCAAAAGGUUUCUAUACAAGCAUGAGUCAGAUGACGAUGAUGCCAAGUUCGCAGAUGGAUCAUACAUGUUGCAGACAUAAAUCUAGCAAGUCAAGAAUGGCAAACUGAAAAAUAUACAAUACUCUACGGUCUUAUCAAUACUUGAGGUCUUCUGUAGGUUUCAGAUAUAAUAGAAGCUUGUACAUCACAUGCCCAUCUGGUUCAAGUACUUCGGUGUCCUUCAUUGGCAUUUGCAGACCUUAUUCAGAGCAUCAAAAACAUUCUGAAGAUUUGUGUCUUGGACAAUCACGACUUUUUCCCUGGAUUUUGAACCAGAACCAAUAGAUACCUGCCUUUUCUUCACUCCUAAAACCUGCAUUUUAUACAUGGUCUGAGCUUUCAACAACUGGUCAGGCAAAUCGUAUAUUUGAUUAAUUUAAUAUUGAUAUAGUUCAAGGGAAAAACCCUCAUUGGAAUAAAAAGUAAAUUGUAGAUUAGGAUUGUGAUUUUUUUUCCUAGUUUUCAGAAGAAAUCGCCAUGGUGUUUUUAGGCUUAUGCGUGUUUAUCUUCCUAUUCAAAUAAACAUAUGAUUUCGAAUAGAAAAUAAAGAAUAGUGAAGCUCAUAGUUCCUGCAAAUACUGGAUAUCACAUCUGAAGCCACUUCGGGGAUUGCAGCAUCAUUUGUUAACAUGAUUGUAUUUUAUCUUGUUACUCCUAAUGUUCUACAGUUUUCAUGGUUCCAUUAACUAAUUCUUGUGCUUCAGAAAAGUUUCAAAGACAUGCUGUUAGGAUUGAUUAGGAUUGUCAACUGAGAGCUUGGGAUGAGAUCUUGCACAACUCAACCUGCUUAAAUGGAUUCAAGCAAGUAGCAAGAGUACAGAAAGGACGAGAAGCAGGCAGUGAUAUGCGUAGCUGGGUGGGAAUCACAAUGCUGGAUUGCAGCAUCAUUUUGUCAACUUGCACUUCAUGUCAGUCUAUCUUGAUAUUAGUUCUCUGUUUUAUCUUUUUAAAUAUGGGUUAGAGCUCAGAAAUCAGAAAGUUUUGAAGAUUCAAACACAAAAGAAUACAUUACCAAAAAGGCCCUUAGAUCAGAUUUUUUGGAUUCCCUCCAUCUUUAUAACCUUUGUUGUCUUUGCUUCCCCUCCAACUGAUUUUCAAUAAAAAACCAUUGCAAGACAACUUUCAGUUUUAUUACUGCUUCAACGCAUUUGAAAUGUUUUUAUAUUGUUAUCUGUUUUAAGAAAAUGAGAACUUAAUUGUUUCAUUUUCCUUUUUUUUUCUCUUGUAUUAGUUUUUGUUUUCAUAUUUUCCAAAUUUUAUCUCAUUAACAGUAGUAACAAGCUUGUGUCACUAUUAUUGUCAUAGUAGAAAGUAGUAACAUACUGUGUUACUCCUACUAUCCUAGCAGAUGUAGAAGUGAUAUGAUUCAAGCAGAAGUCAUGCUUUAAUUAUUACCGACACACUUUUGGAUCAUGUAUGAUGGAUAAUUUAUUGACAACAUAUGCAAGUUUUAACUAGUAAUUGAAAUAUAUGAAGCCUAAAUUAUUUUGCAGAUAUUAUAUGAAUUUGUUGCCUCCGCGGUCAUCUAAUUGCCUAGGCUAUAGAAGGGUCCAUUACCUAGGGCUGCCAAGGCUAUUUGAAAAACAUUAAGUUGACCAACCAUGCAUACCUUUUAAACAUGAGUGCAGAAAAUCAAGUGAUGAAGCUUAAUUUAGCAAUCAAUAAUAGCUAUUUUAUCUUGUCAAAGCCUUAGCUUUGAUUUAAGAGAAGUAUAUCUAGUUCUUAGCUGCUUUAUCCAUUACUCUGGCUUCAAUAGAGGCAAUAUAGCCCACUGGUUGCGGCCCUCCUCCAGAAGGUGUUUCAGUCUAGGUUCAAACUCUAGAAGGUGUUUGACUCUUAGAUAAUAAUUAGUGGCAUUCUCAUUGUGGUUCUUCCGCAACCUGAACCCCACAAACCACACCCCCCCCCCCCCUCCCCCCAGGACGUCUAUCACAAGGUUACUCUUACACAAGAGUGGCAAAAUUUGGUGAGACUCGCCAACCUAGUGUUGCAGUCCAAGGACCACAAGGAGCAGUCAUGCACAUUCUCUUGGCUGAUCGUCACUGGCUAAAGAGAAGUCAACAUAGGCAGUUAUCACCGACCUCUUUCAGGCCAUUAGUUUGUCUAUUUUUGUUUUCUUUAGUUAUAGUAUUUUCAAGUUGUUAUUGGAAUUAUUUUGCUGAGUCUUAAGAGACUUUUUUAGAAGUUUCCCAUGCAUCAAUUUGCACUGCAUACAGGUGCCCCAUAUGUGAAUUUAUUUUUAAUUAAGAUUCCUAGAUGGAAUCAAACUUUGGGGAACUAUAAUAGCUGAACAUCCCUCUUAAAAUUAAAAGGAUUCGGCUCCCUUUUUUUCGAUCUUAACGGGGCCUGUUUGGAUGUCCUCAUAAGAUAUUCCAUAGAUAAAAUCUCCUCUAAACUAAUUCAAACAGAGACACUGCAAAAUGAAGGAAGAAACUCAACCCUUGAUGAAUCCGCUAAGCAUAAAAUCACGAAAAAAUCGGGAUUCAAUAUUGACUGUAAAAGGUGAUUUACAGUAUUUGCUGUUUUUUAGGAUUCUUAGUUCCUUAAUCAGCCCAAUAAUAGAAAUACUCAUUCUCUGCACCAUUUAACUUCCACUCAUCACCUUCCAUAUUAGAUUCCUAUGGAAUAACCAAAGCAUGAGCCAAAUAGACCCUAACAUCGCUCAAAAAGAGGGAUAUGACCAGAAUUAGUGGGGUGGGCUUCAUCAUUAUUUCCUCUUUUCAUUAUUUCUUGUUGAAAAAUGAUUCUGGGCACCCGCAGGUUGCACCCGAGAAGUUCAUCAGGCCCAUAAUGGCCAACUUAGCAAUUCAACAAUCAGGGGAGCCAUAUAGCAUUACUUUUUCUUGUUUAGGAGUCCUACUGUUAUAAAGAAAGGUGUCCAGCUGAGGCUAUCAAAAUAUAUUGACAUUGUGGCUGGCAAAAUAGUUCAAGAAGUUCAUUUUGACUUGAGCAACCACUGGCCUUCCACUGCGUCUUCUUCUCCAACUCUUCUAUUAUUAUCUCCUGUCUUCUACUCUUUUCUACUCUACUUCCCACUUUCUAUGCUUUAGCACUGCUGUUAAACAGCAGGUUCUUUCAGCAUAGUUAAAAAGCAGCUUCUGAAGUUGCAGGAUUCAAAUCUAAUUAGAGAUUUGAAUCAAUUCUUAGCUAUUAAUAUUAUAUGAUCCCAUAACAAUUCGGGGUUACAUCACUUGGCCAAACAAGCCAGAAAUAAACAAGGCUAUGGUGGAGAGUUUCUAUAAAUGGGUGAGUUUGGGUUACGUAAGACUAACUCGAUUAUAACUGGGUCAGGUUCAAUUUGGCCCUCAGACCCAACAAGUAGCCAUGGGUUGGGCAAACCUUGAAAUCUAGCCACAGCUCCCCAUGAUAGUUGUAUUAGUAUGGCAGGCCAUGGAUUAGUCAAGGCCUGGUUUUAGUGAGUAGGACAACAAUGCAGUUCAUGGUUAAGAACAAAACAUGAAAUACAAAAGAAAAAAGUGAAGAAGGAUAAUGCGAUCAGAAUUUUAUUGCACAGUCCCCACCCCCAUCCCUUCUUUAUUAGGAAGCCAACCCUAGGUCCCCUCUUCUUGGACCUAUUCAAUUUUCAUUUUAGAGGCAGAACUGACAAGUGCAGCCUAAUUGCGUUCCAUGCCGAGUAUGACACGAUAUAAAAUAAACAGGUUAAUUAUGGCCUAGUUUUUCAACUUGAUUAUAAUUGGGCAGCAUCUAGGUUAAGAUUUUUUUUUUUUUAAUUCAAACCUAAAGUCUGGCCCGAACCAAACCCCCAUUUCGCUUUCCAUCAUACUAUUUCAUGGUCAGAACACCUUAUUCCUCAAUUCUGUAGAUAUUGUUCAAACUUAAUCAUGAGUAAAUUUUGUUAUUAAGAUGGUUUCUACUAUUAUAGGUUUAUAGCCUUGCAUAUUCAUGGAGAUGUGACUUGGUUUAGCCUCAAUAUCUUCUAGGACCAACCUCAAUUGAAGCCAUCCUCAUCAACUCUCACUACCUCAAGCAAAAUGAUGUCCUAAGAUGACUUGAGUGUUAUAUUAGACAACUCUCUUGUGCUUCUUAAUAUUUAAGAAUUUUAAAUAAUCUAAAGGACCAAGGUUUGUAUUGUGUUUGACAAUGAAUAAGCACAAAUGGAAAUGAGAAAAAUAGCCACAGGUUUAGCCGAGACCUAUCUUAAGAAUCCAUGUUUAAAGGCCAAGAGAUUGCACUGGCUCAAGGAAAAAGGUCCAAAGAACUUCACAUGUGAUUGAUUUGAAAGAACCAAUCAUAAAGCAUUACUAGUAGAGAACCAAAAUCUACCAAUUCUUUUCGGCAAUCCAGAUUUCAUCUUAUUCUCCAAAAUCCUUUUAGUCAUAAAUGGAAGAAAUACUCAGAAGGACAUUGUCUACGAAAUAAAUCUCGCAGAUUUCAUAAGAUACUGCUAACACAAUGUUGACAUCACAGUAGCUAAAGAUGGAAUAUAGGAUUUGAUGGUGAAUAUCUGAAAUCAGAAUCAAUAGAGAUACCACCAAAUCCCCAUUGAUUUGAAAAUCAAAUUAUGGAGAUUUUUUUCUAUCUUUCCUUUCAGCAUUUUUGUGGAGAUAAUCUAUAAAUAAAUAUUCUCUUUUCAACUAUGACUGAAUGUAGACAUAAAAGAAAGAUUCAUAGGGAUUUUAGAUCUAUAAAUAGGGGUGCCUGGACAAGUAAAUACCACCUUAGGUUGAAUAAAAUUGCCAAUUAUUUUCCCCUCAUUGUAAGUUGUGGGUGUCAUUCUCAUUGCUUUCUUCCUCCUAUCUUGCUACUAUAUUUGUUGGGUAGCUCUUCUUCCUUUAUAGAGAGAUCAUCACAUGCACUUUAAAGUUUAAAUGAAUAUUUUAGUUCAUGGUACCCCUUGAACCACAUAAUAGAAGACCUAUAAUACAUCUACUCAUGCUAAUAGGAUUAUCUUCCGAGGUCAUCCAUUCUAGAAAGUCCUCAAUCCCAUAUAAAAGGUCAAUGCCUCCACUCCACCUAAAUUACAGUCAAAACUAUGUGCAGGCCAUGAAGUGCAAGCCUACUUAGCUGCACGAAAUCUAACACAUACCCUAAAAUUAAUGCAAUUACAUUAACAAGAGUUACUUUCAAAGUCGCCUUUUUGUGAAAAUACCGAUCCCAAAAUAUAAACGUAAAUGGCACCAUCUCAUUAGAUUCUCAAGCAACAUCUGUUGUGAGCUGAAAUAUCAACACUGUUGAGAAAUUAACCAUAACAAAAAAGUAACACCAUUGAAUUAUUCAAGGCAUGUCUUUGUAAAAGCCAUUUUGAUCAAAGAGGAGAAUGCAAGAAGAAUUAUGGGGAUUAUAAUGUUUGCUUCAUCAAUAAAAAUGUAAAACGACAAACCACUUCUUUGUCCAAAGUGAUUUCACCCAGAUGUCAAGGCUUAGCUCACCUUUCAGCUUUAGAACCACACAAGUAGAAAAUGCCCUUAUGAUCAAGUACUUUAUUGGCUUUUUAUCAACAUGAUUCAACAAUGAUGAUUGCUCAGAUUCUGCUUUGCCAUAAAUCCCUCCUGAAGACCCACAACUAAGUAACCUAACAGAAACAUAUUGAUGUCAACUCAAUCUCCAAAUUUUGCAUAAUUCAACUUCAAACCACAUUAAAGUAAAUGCACUCUCCGUACUAAAUCCCUUUUGUUGUAGUUCAUUGUGCAAAUAAUUCAAAGUUGUUGCCUUCCAAAAGGGUGUCCUUAUUCUGACUUCCUGAACUCUAGUUCUGCAACCAUUAAAAGAAAAUGACAAACAUUUAUAGUUCCCGUUACCAUACUCUCCUGAUUCUUUUUGGUAAACUAAAAACCCUAAAGUUGCAAAAAUCUCCAACAAAAUGUUCCUGAUUUCAGGCUUCUAAAUUAACCAACAAAGCAUCAAACACUUUGGCUUGUGUUUUGUUCUCAUCAUCUUUCUCAAACUAGGGAUGGCUACUUUUUUGAUGUAUUUCUCCAAUAUUACUCCUUGAGAGAAAUCAACUAAUUAUUCUUGAGAUAAUCAAAGUAAAUGAAAUAUAGCACAUGUACAGGUCAACUUGAUCUGAAAAACCAGAAUUGCCUUUGGAAUUAUUGCCUAUGUUAAUGUAACCUCAUCUUGUAACACAAUCCCCAUCCAGAUGUGAGACUUACUCUUUUAUUCAUAGCUUUAAGCAAAUGACAUUCCCUUCCAACUCUUCUCCCUAUCAGUAGGUUGAGAACUCCUAACCAAAUCUACAACUUAAAACAAAGGAAAGACCACAAUAAUAUCGUUCCUAAUGACUCCACUGCUCGGAAACCAGAAUAUAAGAUAGCCUCUUCUCCCCCCAAGAGGUCCCAACCCAUAAACCACCCAUGAACUCAACUUCAAAGACCGCAAGAUGAUAAAUUAUACAAAUUACAAGGAAAACGUAAUUUUGAGAAAAUUAAGAAAAAAAACUUUCGAUUUAGGGGGCUAACCGAGCUGAUGUAGUCGACCAACGCCGCGUUGGCUUCCCCGUCCCUCGCCGGAGCGUCGAUCUGCACGCCCAGCGCCUCGUCGCCGAAAUCUGAGGCCGACGGACGGAAGGAAAACUAGGGUUUUAAUGCGACAAAAUAGCAAUAGGUGAUCAAAAGGAGGGGGGUUGAGGAGAGGGAGCGAACCUGUGAUCGUGGCGACCUUAGAGCCCGGUUUGGCGUGGACGGUUAUGGCGACGGAGGAGGUGGGUAGGAGGCGGAGGCAGGCGGGAAUUCCUGCCGGCGCUGCCGGGGCGAUGGAGGCCGGAGCGGCGGAGUCGCCUUUCGCUUUGCCUCGUUUGGACGGUGCCAUUCUCUUGAACAUAGGUACCGCACCACCACCGUGGAGUACUAGUUCCCAAUAAACACGGCAUAUGAUAUGCCGUCUUCUGCGAGAGAGAUACGGCCGUCACGCCCCACCGUGAAGCUGAUUCCUGACUCAAACUUGAGCCGACCCUAAACUGGACCGGACAGAGAACAAAUGGAUCGGAAUCAAAGUCAGGCUUACUGAACUUUGAGAUUGGGUUUGGAAUUGAGAUUUAUAUAUACACACACACACACACAUACAUACAUAUAUAUAUAUAUAUAUAUAUAUAUAUAUACUAUANNNNNNNNNNNNNNNNNNNNAGUAGUAGUUAUUAUAUACACACACACACACACAUACAUACUAUAUAUAUAUAUAUAUAUAUAUAUAUAUAUACUAUAAGUGCUUUAUAUAUAUAUUCUUCUAAAUAUACAAAAUUGUAUGAUUAUUCUUAUAAAGUUGUUAUUUGUAUGUAUACUUACAUAAAUACUUGUUUUGCAUGUAUACUUUUUUUUAUUUCUUUUUUUAUAUGUGUAUCUAUACCAUCUAAUGCCGUUAAAAAAAUAAGUAGUUUAAAAUUAAAAUGAUUGAAAUACUUUUAAUGAGUAGACAUACAAAAAAUAUAUAUGUAUAAAGAUAUCUAUGCAAAUAGCAACUUUGCGAGAGUAAUUAUCCAAUUUCGCAUAUUUAAGAUAAAAGCUUAGUUAGAUUUGCCAAGUCUUUUAUAAUCCAAUUAUAUCGCAGUGGAAUGAAAUAAAGGCUGGUUUGGGUUGUAUCUUUUGCAUGAAAAAAUGAUUAAUAUUUUUUCACAAUAUCGACUAUUGGAUUGCACAUUACAAAUCUCAAGGCACUCCGAACUCUCUCAUUCAUUUGUCUGCGCAAAUCUCGAAGUGACCAUUGUGCAAUCUAAUAGUGGAUUCAUGCAAAAGGAGGGAAAUCAUUCUUUCGCGCAAAAGAUACAACUCUUGUUCAUGAUGACCAAGGUCAUAAGUGAAGCUAGAGGCCAUCCUCUUCCUCCCCUCUUUAUAAUAACUUUUCCUGCCCGUUGUAGCAAUGGCGAAUAGCUUCUAGGCCAGCCAACCGCCUCUCUACCCAUCCCCUCUAGUUCUCAAGCAACCGCACCUCACUUUCGGUACUUCCCCAAUUGUCAAAACCCAAGCCUUAGUUCCCUAAUUCCAUGUGGUUUCUUCAUGAAUUUUUUAAAAUACCAUCCCCCAUUUAAAGUUCUUGUAUUUAGUGACCAAAAUGGGAUUACCAAAGUAAUCUUUGAUCAUUGGUAACCCAUAUCCUGAGGUGAUUUGAUCCUCGAUGAUCUUUGAUUAUUGCAUUUGGUAUGCUAUAUUCUAGUGAUCGAAGAUCUCUAAGUAUCCAUGAGUAACAUAUUUGGUAUUAUAUAAAAACCCAAGAUUAUUAACCAUAUAGUACAAAAAUUACAUCUGAUGUCUUCCAUAAAAUAUAAUUUUUAAUCAAAUAAUAUAUAUAUAUUAUUAAUAUAUUCUAUAAAAAAUAUAUUUAUUAAUUCUAUAAAAAUAUAUUAAUUGUUAUUAUAGAAUUAAUAUUUUUGUUUAUGGUUAUAAUAUAUUAUUAUUUUAAUACUACUAUUUAUUUUGAUUGGAAAAAUAAGGCAAGUGGAAGUAAUCUAUUAAAUAAUUUCAAAAUUUGAAGAUAGUAUAAAUACAAAAAUUGCUAUCUAUGACAGUAUAUGAUUAGUAAUAUAUUAUAGUAUAAUAUAUAUUAUAAAUACAAUAUAUGUAAUAUCAACAUAAUAUAAUAUAAUAUAAUAUAAUAUAAUAUAAUAUAUUGAUAUAAUAUGUGAGGUAUAUUAAGAUACCAAUUUUUCUUACUGGACCGAGGGAUAUUUUUGUUGCUAAAUUUCAACCCAAGAUCACUGCAUUGGGAUGAUCUUAGAUACCCGACCUCAAGCACCGGUUUUUCAUCACUAAGUUAGACAGUGAUUUAAUAAAUGAGGAUGAUUUGCAUCACUACUAUGUAGAAAUCAUUAUGGUGCAAUCAAAUAUGGUGAUCUCGUCGCAUCCAUCCACAUUAUCUUUAAUUUUGAGAUGAUCAUCUCAUACCAAAAGCCCCAUAAAGAACGAUCAAUCUUAAUCUUGAAAAUUUUAUAAUUCAGAUUCGAUUGGGCCUGUGUGCAUCUCUUGUUUAUUAGUAGCCCGAGACGAAAUUUUNNNNNNNNNNNNNNNNNNNNGGCCGGGCCGGCCCGGCACGGCCCGUUGCCCAACUCUAUGUGCAUCUCUUGUUUAUUAGUAGCCCGAGACGAAAUUUUGGUUGAAUUCACUCGUGGUUUCUAUUUUCGUGACUCUAAUAUCAAUGUUACGGAAUCUGGUUGAAAUUGGUUUAUUGACAAGGAGUUCGUUAUUAGUCCGCCAAGUAUACGAUGGACAUGCAUUUUAUCAGAUACGGGGCAAGUGUCAUCACCUCCAUAGAAGGAAGUGAACCUCCUUGUCGAUCUCCACUUUUCUUUACCUCUUACAUUCUUUUGCAAAGAUAUUUGACAUCAUCACAUAGUUCCUAGGUUAUUGUAACAACCUGAGAUCUCAUCCAAAAUGGCUAGCCGAAAGAUAUGUUUUUGGGCUUCUUAGUUCCAUAUAAGUACUCAAGAUCUUCUUAAUAAAUAAUUGAUAUGGAACUAAAUACAUACCUGCACAAAUUCUCACAGUCAUCUUCAUCUAUCUUCAACAGGCUUUCUCCAACUUCUUUACCCAUCUUGAGGUCCCUUUUUUUUUCCCACAUCUUAGGUGUCUGCCAAUGCCAACACUUGCUUCUAGUAGCAUGUUGUCUGCGAGAUCCUAAGCUUCUUUCAAUUGGCCUGCACGGCCAAGGAGAUCAACCAUGAAAACUUAGUGAUUCAUUUUCGAUUUGUUUUUUAAUUUUCAUUAUGCUCAAAGUCGUCCAUAGUAUCUUAUUCUUUGGCACGGUCUGAUCAAAUACUUUUCUUGCUACUAGUAAAUCCCAUUGUUUAAACAAGAACAUCCAUUUGUAAUCAACAAAGCCUAGAUCUGGGUUCCUUCACAAACUUCUCCAAGACCACUGCAUGCUUUCAGUGUCAGAACUAAAUACUUUCUCAUACAUAAUCUUAUGUGUUCAUUGCCCAACAUGAAGAUUAGAACUAAAACCCAUCUUGUCGACACUUUCAGCAUCAAAUCCUUCGAACAACUCCUGAGGAGCUUCUGCGAUCCUUUGCAGCUCCGUUUUGCUCGGUAUGAAACUCCCCACUUGGGCUAUCAGAGAAUUGGAAAAUCGAAUCAUGCCGGCGUUGAGAAACUGCACCAAUAUGGAAGAAUUGAAGCAACUCCACGCUCACAUUCUGGUCUUUUCCCUUUCUCAAAGCAACUUCCUUGGAACUCAAAUCAUAAAUAUUUGCAAUAGCAAUCGAAGGGUAGACUAUGCUGCUCUAGUCUUCAACCAUGUGGAGGAACCAAAUCUGUUCCUCUACAAUGCCAUGAUCAAAGCGUGCACCCAAAACCAGCAUUGCUCUGAAGCAAUCAGCCUCUACAAACAGAUGUUGAAUCGCCGACACGCCCAAAAUUCAGUUCUUGCUGAUAGAUUUACCUAUCCAUUUGUACUGAAAGCUUGUGCCGGUCUACUUCUCCUUGUUCUUGGCAAGCUGGUUCAUGUCCAUAUAUUUAGAUCCGGGCUGACCUCUAACUCUAUAAUUCAGAAUUCGCUGAUGGAGAUGUACGCAAAAUGUGAUGAUUUAGUCGAUGCACGCAGAGUGUUUGAUGAAAUGGAGGACAGAGAUGCGGUCUCAUGGAAUACACUCAUCUCGGCGCAUGCUAGGCUGGGGCAAAUGAGGAAAGCUAGAGCUUUAUUUAACUCGAUGCCUAGUAGAACAGUGGUUUCUUGGACUGCAUUGAUCUCUGGGUACACCAUGGCUGCUCAGUUCUUUGAUGCGGUGGAGGUAUUUCAUCGCAUGCAAUUGGAAGGCUUCGAGCCUGAUGAUAUUAGUAUUGUAUCAGUUUUGCCUGCUUGUGCUCAGCUAGGGGCUCUGGAGCUGGGCAGAUGGAUCCACGCCUGCUGUGAUAAGCAUGAACUGCUUCAAAAGAGCUUCAUUUGUAAUGCUCUUAUAGAAAUGUAUGCCAAAUGUGGGAGCAUCGAUCAGGCUCUUCGAUUGUUUGAGGAAAUGAAAGACAGGGAUGUGAUCUCAUGGAGCACGAUGAUCGGAGGUCUCGCAUUGCACGGGCGAGCUCACAAAGCAAUCGAACUGUUUGUGGAAAUGGAGAAAGAUGAAACAGUGAGGCCAAAUGGCAUUACAUUUAUUGGUCUCCUAUCUGCUUGUUCUCAUGCUGGUUUGUUGGAUGAGGGGUUCAGGUACUUUGAUUCGAUGAAAGAGGUCUAUGGUAUUGAUCCUGGUGUCGAGCAUUAUGGGUGCAUGGUGGAUCUUCUCGGUCGUUCAGGCUGCAUUGAUCGUGCAGUAGAAUUUAUCGAGAGCAUGCCUGUUCUACCGGAUGCGGCUGUCUGGGGGUCUUUGCUCAGUGCUUGCAGAACUCAUGGUAAUAUUGGGACAGCUGUGAAGGCAAUGGAAUGGCUCGUUGAGCUCGAGCCAGACGACAUUGGGAACUAUGUCAUGCUUUCGAAUAUAUAUGCAGCAGCCGGGAGAUGGGAUGGUGUUGCAAAGAUGAGGAGAGUGAUCAGGAGUAAGAGCUUGAAGAAGACACCAGGGUGCAGCUUGAUAGAGGUGAACAAUGUGGUUCAGGAGUUUGUAGCUGGAGAUGAUUCGAACCUGCAGUUUGGUGAGAUAUCAGGGAUGCUAUACUUGUUGGCCUCCCAGCUUGGCCAUUAUGGAUAUCAGAGAACAAUGGAAUCUAAAGAAUAAGCAAAGCUUACAGAUUCAUCUCACAAGCUCGGCAACGAUAUUUGUUUUGCUCAGUAAAUAACGCAAAGCUCGAAGACGAGACAGAAGAGGUAAAAGAAAUUCCUCAAACAAGUGACUACACUUAAACUGCAUCUCACUAUACUUUUGCUUGCAUGUAUGUCAUUGGCAAAACAAAAUUGCAGUAGUCAAUUGAUACCAUGAUGCUUUAUGAAGAUUUUUUCUAUAGAAGAAACCAUGAUACGCCAUAUUGAUCCGAACCGGACGGUACGCCGUAUCAUAUCUAUUUGGUACCGAUACCCUGGUACAUAUGGUAUACCGAUAUUCGGUACGCUAAAAAAAAUUUCGUACCAUACCGUACUGAUACUAUGCUAGUAUGGCACCAGUAUGAAUCCGGUACCGAGACAACGAACCUCAGAAGAAACGAUAUUAAACUGACCUUAAAUGCUGAGAAAAAUAUUUGAUGAGAAAGCAUAAUUUCUAAAAGUUACGUGUCAUGAUUUUUGUCCUGGAUGCAGCAGAUCUUGAUAGCAAACCUUACCUAGACCUACCUGGUGGCUAAACUAAUCCACAAUGGAUUCAGUGAUCCUUCUUGAUCAUUAACAUGCCAUGGUUUUUAGUGUUUUCCAGCAACAAGUAGAAGGUGGCCCUGGUGAAAUCAUCCAACAUACUUUUUACUUAUUGUUGAUCAUAAUGAUGGAUGAAAACAAAAAAUAAAUGCUCUAAUUUGGUUGAACCUUUCACAUUAGUUAUUCUGAAUGCUUGAUUUGCACUCGGGGAACACAUGGACUGUGCACUGAACCCAUAGCGAGAAUCGCUUUUAGGUUAAAAACAUGACCUGUGAGUUCUUUAUCAUUGUUCAUCACAGUAAUGGAUCAAAAUAAAAAAAACAUAAACACUCUAAUGGUUGAAGUUUUUGCAUUAGUUACUGACAAUGAAGCAUCAUGCGAAACUUAUGGCUAUGCGCUGAACAACACAGUAAAGAUCACUUUGAAGUUAAAAUCCUAAAGAAAAAUGUCUUUGCAAUUACAGAUAAAUACAAAAUAUACAAUGUCUGCAAAUAUACUAACAGAUUCAUCUUACAUACAACUUAUACAGUGACAGAAUUCCAGGAUCAGCGGAUCUUCAGAAAGCUGGAUCCAAUCUUAUGGCUAGGAUAGAGCCAAUGCUUCGUUUCAGCUGGAGUAGGGGGAUGAAGAGGAGAAUGAACUGUACUUGUUUGAUUUUGAAAAUGAUGAAAUGGCCAGGUACUAAGUUACAUCUUUGACAGAGUAGCCUGCAUGCUUGAAACCAGGAGCAUACUAUUGAAGAAACCCUUCAAUUGAAGCUGGAGAAUAUCCUUCCGUAAAAAGAAUGCAAUGUUGAAGCUUCAUCAAUCUCCAACACAAGAUAAACUGAAGUGUGGAAAGCAACUGAUGGAAGCAUUCAAUUUCAUGAUCGGUGCUGCCUCAUGUUGUCAGGCAUUGCCAGCAGGACUGAUGGUAAGCUUCAAAUUUUUUGAAGGCUGGACCACAAUAAGCUAAAUGCAGAGAUCCAAAGGGCAUGCCAAAGUCCAAAGAUAAAAAACACCAGAAUACAGCUUGAUUUAGCUGAACAGUUAGCUGAAGACCUGUUGGCUGUACAACUUACUUUCUAAACAAACAACUCAUAUUCUCAAGAAUCUGUGAUGAUAGAACUCAUCAAAUGACAGGCGUUUCACUGCAAAGGAUAGAGAACUUCGUCAGCAACACAUGAUACACUAGAUGAAAAAUUGAGGUUAAAAGUACACACCUGGGUUUUUGCACAAAAGCCUAGCACACAUAUCAAUAGAGUCAAGAUGCAAACUGGGGAGGAUGAGCUGUGAAAAUGGCAAGGACGUACUACUCUUUAUGCUUUUUAGAAGCUGCAGAAGAAACCAACAUUAAGCCAGAACAAAGGCAAAAAGGAAGGUUACAAUAAUGAUGCAAUAAUCUUAUUUGUAAAUAGAUUAGCCACCUGAACAUUGUUACUGCCACGAAAAGGUGGAUACCCAUUCAGAAGCUCAAAGAAAAUUGCACCAAUGCUCCACAUAUCUACCUGGUUAGAGAAAGCAUUUCAAUUUGCUGUCAUUUGAGUAGGAGGAGAGAGCGACUUUUACCUUGUCGUCAUACUGUUGAAAUUCCAUAACCUCUGGAGCCAUGUAGAAAGGUGUUCCACAAACUGAGUCUGCAAACUCGCCAGGAUGAACAGCUCUAUUUGAAAGCAGUAGGAGAACAUGUAAGAAUUCCUUCUGAAGAUAAACAAUUAGUUGUACAAAAUACUCUGAAUUCUGAUAUGGAAUACUCCAGUAAUUUGCUACCGAUACCUUGAUAGACCAAAAUCAGCUAUCUUUAGCACAGCAUCACUGCUGGGAGUAGAAAGUAGAAUAUUCUGCUCCACUAACAGCAAAUGUCAAUGAAUUAUGAAGAGCAUGAAUUCUAUAAGUAGAAUUAGAUGGUUAACAUUGUUCUGUACCUUCGGUUUCAAGUCCCGAUGGAUUAUGUGGUGAGCAUGCAUUACCUCCAAACCUGCUCCUGCAAUAUGAAGAUAAAUGAACUAUUGUAUCAUAUCCACAAUAUUAGUGGGACAAAAAUACUUGCUUGAUACUUAUCAGUUCAUUGAUGAUACAAAUACCUAGCUGCUUCAUGAAUUUUCUGACAGUAUUUUCAUGCACCCUCCCUUUUUGCUGAAUGUAAGUGGCUAAGUUUCCUCCGGAACAGAACUCCAAAACAAGGAAUAUGCAUCCAUCAACCUGAAAUGGGAAAAUAUCGAGAAGCAAAAGAGUGAAAACGUAAAACUUCUAUUAAUGUUCAUCACAGGGACCAUGAUGCAUAACUCACAAUAAUGGAACUUAUUUUGAAUUCUACUUUGGAAGUUUUGAACAUGGCUGGUGUUUGUGAUAAAAAAAGCCCCAAAUUAUUUGGCCUUAUUGAUGUAAAAAGGCACCCAUGUAGAUAUACACAUAAUACAAUCCUCAGUAGGGAGUUGAAAACCCUUCUUUUCCACUGAAUCUUCAGGUGAAACAGCUAGCUUUAAGAAAAAUAAGGUGAUCUACAUCAAUUCUAUAAGUUUCUUGGAGUUUUAAAUGUGUUCAGCUGUUGCAUUUGAUCUUAUUUUCUUUCAUUUUGCUCUUUUAAUGGAUGAAGAAACUCAUGAUUGGCCUUCCUUCCAACUUCCGUCAUAAAAAUUUUGAUAGAGCCAUGAUGGAACACAAAAUAGCCAAGGCUCCACCAUCAGAAUUUCUGGUAAAAACUCCGCAAUGAAGCACCAGUCCUAGUUAAAAGGUAUUGCCCUCCAACAACAGGUUAAGAAAAAAUUUGCAAAAUUUUCGUUACUUGGCAAGUUCAAAAUUUCCUAUUCUGAACAGCAAGCCCUGGAUAUAAAGCUCAAAGUUACUGAUCCUCCUCCAAUAAAUUGCCCCCAAACCCAAAAUAUUCCCAUGAAGCAUGUGAUCAGAAGCUAAUGAAGUCUAUUACUCUAGAUAUUAAAAGCCCUAAAGUUCGAGCAAACAACUCCUCAAAAGCUCCAACUAUUUGAUUUCCGAACUAAGAAUUCAAUCCAAAUACCAAAACCUGGUUCCGAAACCCCAACUAGCGGCUAUCCAAAAGAGCUAAUGGAACCAAUUUCUCGAUAGAAUAAACAACCAAAAACUUUCAAACUGGGAAAUCAAUUGAAAGCUCAAAUCUUUACAUUUCUGAACUAUUUAAUUCAGUCUAAACAUCAAAUCUCUGAUUCAUAACCCGCAAGAAGCCUCAAUUUUAAGCUCUUUCCCCUCAAUCAAAAGCUUUAAAACACAAGUUUAACGUCCAAAUGAAAUAAAAAUGAGAGAAAAAAAAAAGAGAAAUGAAGUGGAAAGGGAAGGAAGGGAACCUGGAAGACAUCAAGGAGGCGGAUGAUGUUGGGAUGGCAGACGCUUGCCAAGAAGUUGAUCUCGCAAUCGAGGCAUUCCCUCAGGGUCCUGGUGAGCCCCGAGAGGCGGACCUGCUUCAAGACGACGUCCUGGCCGCUCGAUCGGUGGACCGCCCUCCACACGAUCGAGAACGGCCCUUCCCCUCCCAGCCUCCCCCUCACCUCGUACUCUCCGUCGCCGGCGAUGGACGGCGGUGGCCGCUCCUCCGUCAUCCGUCCCUCGCUCUCUCUCAUCCUGGUCCCCUCUCCGCACUACAAGCCAUCACUGUUCUCACGAGCCAACCGACAAGCACGAUCUCAAGCGUUUUGCGAGUCCCCGGACAGCUACCCAAAUGGAAGUAGACCCGCUUUUCCCCAAACCAGCGCCAAAUAAACCGUCGGCUGUGAUUCAGGGUUGACAAUUAUAGCAACCGGGCCAAGCCGGAUGGACGGUAGAUCAAAAAUUUAUCAAUUUAAAUUUAAUUAAUUUAUUAAAUAGAUAAAAUUUUAGAUUUGAAUGUGAUAAUUUUAUUAAAUAGAUGAUGUAAUCAAAUCUAUAAUAAGUAAAAAUAAGUGAAAUGGGGUAAAUAGCGAAGCACCGCCUUUUAUACUUAAAAAUGGAAGUAGUUGUAUUUUUGAUGCAAAAGGAGGAUACAUCUUUCUUCGCAUGAAUCCAUCAUUAGAUCACCAUUGCACAGAUCUCAAAGCAACUCGUACUAUCAUCAUCCGCCUCCGCAAAUCCCAAAGUGACUGAUGGAUGAUUCAACGGUGGAUUGGUGCGAAUAUCAAUGAAUAUUUUUAUCCAAAGAUGCAACCCCACUCUACUGAAAUGGGCCAGAGUUCCGUUGGGUCAACUGUCAAAUUGCGUUUUCUAGGCCCAAAGCCAGUUCUGCUCCCCAAAAUUUAAUUAAAGAUUUAUCAUAUUUUUCCUAGGGCUCGAUAUACUUUUUUUUUUUCCCGUUAUUAUCUUCUGUUCUUAAAAUCUUCCUAUUAUGAAGGGUUGAAAAGAAAAAGGAGGGGGUCAAAUUUUAGUUGUCAAGUAGUCAAGUAGAAUUAUAUCCUUGAUUUUCUUAAUUUCUCUGCAUACUGAUAAGUAGAAGGAAAAUCACACAGAAAAAAGAGGGAAUGGGUUGGUGCUCUCACAAAAAUCAUGACUUAAAUAUGUUUGAGAUUAAUUGGAUCAACAUGAGAUUGCAUACUCCAUGGAAAAGGUGUUUUUCUUCCCUAAUUUUCAUAUGAUUCUGAUUUGCUCCUCAACUUUAUGGCUGAAUCCUUUUUUUCACUAUCUCAACAAAAUGGGCUGGCACUCACUAACUUUUCAAAAAGAAACAAAUCAUAAACACCAUAACAACAUGUCAAGGAUUAUAGUGCAGGAAGAUCAGUUUAAUGGUCUAAAUUAGGUUUUCACAAUGAGGGAAAUAACAAAAACAUGCAUAUUUAUAUACAAACACACGUACACUCAACACACACUAAUCAGAAAAUCAAAGCAAUUAUUUUUUUAUGUCUUCAAAAAAAGCCCCUAGGCAAGAUGGCUUCCCUCCAUUUUCUUAAAAAUGAAUUGCAAGAUAGUUAACCUAGGGUGUGUCUUGCAAUCAAAAUAUUUUUCUUUUCGUGGCAUACUAUUGGGCUUGCAAAGAACGGAUAUGUUUCUAGGGCAUUGGACGAAGCCCCAGUUGAUCCUUCUAAAAGCCUUCAUGCAAGCAAUGGUUCAUUCAGAUGAUUGCCUCGGAAAAAUCUUUGAUAGCUCGAAAAAUCUAUGGUUCUUAUCGUGCAAUUCUUGCAUCUCCUAACGUAAUAUUUUUUACUUAGGAGCCACCAUCCUCUUAUUUCCUUGUGAUAUAUUUUGAUGGUAGGAUUCAAGAUGAAGGUGGCCAUGGGCGAGCCGGCUUUGUUAUCUAGAGCCAUAGUUGCAUGUUUUUUGGCUGCUGGGGGUACGUAGCUUCUUGACAUUUCAGCACCGAUACAAAGUUGCAUGGAGCAUAGGAGGGGUUGACUUAUCCUAUCAGAGUUUUAGGGCAUGCACAUCACUUUAGAAGUGAUUUCAAAACAAUGAUAAGCUGGUGUCCAUCAGGUGGCUGAUGUAGGAGGCACUCAACCUUAGUACAGGACAUCCAGCUAAAGGGAGCCACUUUUGUAUAGUCUGAAGCAUCUCAUGUGUACAAGGAAGCCGGUAGCAUGGUUAAUUGGGUUGCUUCUUACAUGGUCCAUCACUCUAGUGCAGUUUUUUUGGGACUCCAUGUUUAUUCUUCCUUCCCAAUUUCGAGAUCUUUUGUAUAUACCAACUCUCAAGGUUGGAUUUACACUAGAGCUAUACAGCUCAUUCACUUCAUCUUAAAAAAGAAAAAAAUCCCUUUCUUGAUACAUGCUUGAAGAGUAGAAGUCAACUUUCUAUCACUUUAAUUUCUAAAACACCUGAUGCCUUGGAGUCUUGCCAUUAUUUUUUUAUUUUUGAUAAGGCGAACAGAUCAUACAUGCCUAAUAUGAAUAUGCCCAAUAAAAUUAGAAAACAAAAUACCGUUCAAAUAAGUAUAAACAGCUAGAGUGUUGGUCCAAAGGACUUUCCUUAUAGUGCUCCCCAACAAACGAGUCUUGCCAUUAUUAACCAAGUACUCUUUGAAACACUAUGCGCUCUUUUCGAGCCCGUUGAUUUUCGGGGGUGGAGUUUUCUAGAUAAUAUCCUCAUAGCUCAAGGAAUAAUGCAUGAAUUGGAGAGAGCGCAGCUGCUCAAAAGUUUGACAGCAAUUAAACUUGAUACGAAAAGAGCAUAUGAUCGCAUGAGAUGGGACUUCCAGGUCCGUGGGCUUCUUGUCUUGGACAAGGCUGUCCUCUCUCGCCGUAUCUGUUCAUAUUUUGUGCUAACUUGGAGUCUCCGUUGCUAAAUCAGGCUAUUGAAUAGACCAAAGUUACAGGGUUAUCAACUCACUCCUCUGACGCCUCAAAUUUCCCAUCAAUAUUUUGUCGAUGACUGUUUGCUGUUGUUUGCAAAGGCAAAGAUAGUACAUGCUGGAGAUAGUACUAAAUCUGCUAGUACUUGGCAGCACUUGGAGUUAAUCCAAUCUCUAGUUAAAGCCUUAAUUCUUCUAACUAUAAUUUUUUCUCUGAGAAAAUUGCCACUAAGCUUAUAGGAUGGAAACGGAGAUCACCAUGACAGGCUUCAUUAAUUGUUCUAACCUAUUCUGUUCUUAGUUCUUGGGAAAAUGCAUCGCAUGGCUUGGGAGGUUGUUUAUUUUAGAGCCUAACAAUCUCUCAUCCUUGACAUGAGGACUAAAUAUAGGGUUCUCAUUGUCGAAUAUACCUUAAAAGCUCCCAGAUAUUACUCAGCCAUUUGGAGAUAAUUAUGCAAGCAUACCGAUGUGAUGAGAACUUAUUUACAAUGGAUGAUUGGAGAUGGCUCAAACAUCGAUGUGUGGAACAACCCUUGGUGAUUCACCUCGUCAACAUUUUCUCAUUUUACUGCUUUAUUUGAUGCUAAUUAAUUACUGAACUGUAAGAUUCCUGAGCUACUCAUUAGUGAAAAGAAUGUAAGAUUUAGAGACUCCAUUACUUUUUAUCCAGCAAUUGGUGCAACAAAUCAAUUCUAUUCCUAUACCUUGAGGAAUUGAAAAAGAUAGACUGUUUUGGGAGCCCCAAGAACGUUGAGGGCAAAUUUGGUGCAUGGUAGUGCUUGUGAUAGAAAUAAUUUGACUGUUACCAGGACGUAGGAUAGAUUUGGAAACUUAAGAUUCAGCCAAGAGUUGCUCUAUUUUGGUGGAAGCUUGGAUGGGUUAAAUUAUCAUGUGUGUGUACAUUCUGGCUUCAUGUAAUGAAUGUGCUCAAGUGGACAUGCAACUUGGAGUGCAUCUUGGAUCCCUUGAAGAGCCAAGCUGCAUGCCAAGGAAUACACCUCCAACUUGAACACCAAGUCAUCUUACUUGGUCUAGGGAAACCUGGGUUUCUCCUGCCAAGUGCAUUGUUCUCCUGCAGAUGAUUCAAUUCACUUAGGAACCUCCAUCUCUCGGUUCCAUUAACAUAAAUUUCAAUGGAUCGGAUAGAGGAGGGAUUAGCAUUGAUGGUGUGGCUAUGUUAUUACGGAUUAUCGAGGAGCGUUAGUAGUAGUUGGUCUUGUGCUCUUGUUUCUCACCAAUUAGCCUAUAGUGGAACUUAAGAGCUGCAUAGGAGGAGAUGGUAUAUAUUACUGAGAAAUUGAAUAAAGCUCAGAAGAUUUGCCUUGAAGGAGAUUCAAAAACAGUAAUUAAUAGUAAGUAUCCAAUGCCUUAUUUAGAUGUUCAUCCUACGAUCAUCGAUAUCUGGAGGAUGUCCACGAAGCUGGAAGCUUUACAAGAAAAGCAUGCUUUUCCUCAAGCUAAUUCUACUAGUAAUUGGAUCGCCACUCAUAUUGCCAACAAUUCGAGAGGAUAUACUAAUUCUCGUGCAGUGUAACACAUCUGUCUUACAAAAAAAAAAAGGGAGCUAGAGGGGCGGGUUGGUCAAUUUUGUUUAAAAGAAAUCAAAGUAAAAGAAGAAUUUAAUGCAAACAUUGUCCUCAUCACAAUGAAGUGUUUCCAUGCAAUAAGAAGAAGACAUCGCAAUCAACUGCCGCGUUGCUGAAGGCAUCCAUUUUGGACGUGUGUGCGCGAGCUUUGAUAAAUUAUUUACGCAAUAUAAUACAUAUGACAAGAAUUUCAAGCCUCAGCUCUAAGUUUCAAUGCAAAUCAUUGGCACAUCAUAUUCUUCCUAAUCUCCUUUUUCGCAUUCAGUUUUGCCACAAAAAAAUAAAAUAAAAUGGAGAGAGAUUUUCUUAGCAAAGAGAUAUAUUCAACAACUCUUGGGGCCCUCCUUAUCUUUUUACCGUGCAUGCAUGCAUGCAUGAUUGAAGAGACAUGAUAAUUGCAAAUCAGUCCCUUGUAGGGCCUUCUGCUCUGAAAAACUGAAGUGAUUCUUUUUUUCCACAGGUCAAGAUCUAACAAUGCCCCACUUGCCGGAUUUGCGCCUUUUAGGCCCCGCUGAAUGCAGACUCCUAGACGCCGCAUCCGGGCCCACAUGCAUGUGACGCCGGAGCUCGGUUAACAUUAUUGCCUAGAAGUCUAGAAUCGAAGGCACAUCCUAAUUAUGGGAUAUAGCAGCCAAGAGUUUAUGAAAUAAACGUGUCUUCAGGUUCUCAAAUUCUUAUUCACUAACAACAACCUUACUGCCAUCUUGUUCAGCAGUGUAACCAUAUAAAGUUAGGGGAAGAGUAAAUAACUCAACAGUUUGGAAUACAGGGAUUUUUUUAUGGGUCCCUUGCAGAUAAGCAGACAAACAUAUAAUUUAUCAGCCAGAGGAGCAAUGUGAAAGCACCAUAGCUUGAGUCUUUUUUUUUCUUUUGUAAAUUUUGGUAUCUUUUGUGAAUGAGCUACUAAACCAUUUGCCUUUUUGUGAGCAUUCAUUUAGAAAUUUCUCUAAAANNNNNNNNNNNNNNNNNNNNNNNNNNNNNNNNNNNNNNNNNNNNNNNNNNNNNNNNNNNNNNNNNNUCAUCAGUUCUUGGUAGUGGAAUUUCUAGAAUUGAGGACAAGGUGACAAUUGGGUCAUUGACAUGGAAAAACUUAAGAUUAAUGAAAAUCCAUAUGUUUGGAUUUUGAAUAUGCUUAACUGCGACAAGGAAUGGUUUCAUUGUAUCGGUGUUUCACUAUAUUAUCUGCCAUUUGCUAUGAUAAGGAAUAAUAAUGGCCCUUGUAGCAAUUAGUAUUUUAUUCUAACAAAAAAAAUAUUUUGAAGAUUAGACUCGGAAUUUUGGCAAACUGCUUCUCGUGACUAGUACAUAUGGGAACUACAAUCGCUACAACAAAAAUGAUAACUAGUAGUAUUUUCAAGUACCACUAUAAACAAAUAGGAAUGUUGCAAAUGUUCCUUCUAGAUAUUUUUAUGGCAUUUUCUUAUGUACCAUCUUAGAAAUUAUAAGUACCAGCAAAAAAUUCUCAAAAUAAAUUUUAUAAUCUAAAAUUCAAAAAAAGAGAGGAUUUUCGAACUAAUAAUCCCUCUGAGCUCUUAACCACCGGCCACAACUUAUAUUGUUCUUACACAGGAAUGGUUUAGUGAAAGAUCAUUUAGUAAAUAAAAUAGAUAAAAAUAAAAAAUAAUAUUAGGUAAAUAAAAAUUAAAAUAAAAAAUAAUAAUAGCUAAAAAUUGGAGGUGGAUAAGGAUAUCAAAGAUAAAAUUAGGAAUAGAAGGAAAAUAAACUUGUUUGAGAGAAGUUGGCUUAGAUUGAGAGAAAGGAAUUCAGACAUUAUGAAGAUAUAGAAGUUUGAAUAAAAUUAGUAUUUUACAUGCAUUUUUUAAUUAUCGAUAUUAAUGAUUGUUAUAUAAUAAAAUUUAUUUGUAAAUCAAAUAAUAUUUCAUUCUGGGACAAAUUUGACAGGCUUAAAGGGCCCCUCCAAUACUUUUUUACGGAGUAGAUGAGUAAAGGUAAGUUUAGGUACUUUCUAGAAAACAAAAAUAUUUUUAUAUAGCCAAUGAUUUGGAUAAUACUGCCAGUGUAGGAAUUAACAUGUUCAUGUUGCAACCUAUCAAGGUCAUUAUGUGAUAUGGAUUCACAUCAAAAGAUGAGUAGUGGUAUCAAAUGCCUGAACAUAACUUUUCUUUUCUUUUUCUUUUUUCUAGGAAACUCGAUCAAAAGAUCUAGGGAACUUUCAUUAAGGGAUUGAAAGAUAUAGUCUUAGAUUUACAUGAACAAAUCAUGUUUGGCUUCAAUUAAACAUGACAUACAAAAAAAUGGAUAUUGUAUACAUCGUUAUUUAUUAUUAUUAAUUCAUGAAUAAUCAAUAUAGUUUAUUGAAAGUGUAUAUUUUAGUUAUGAGAGUGAUGAUUAGUUUAAGUGAUAAAAUGACUGAAGAUUGGGUACUAGUGAUUUGGGUUGGAGUCCCACUUUCAACAUAAUUUAUAAUCUUAAUAAAUUUUCAUGGCCUUGCCCAUGAUCACAGAUAAGCCCACCGGAUUACACCAAGGUGGAAGUAGUUUUAGUCCUUAAAACCAAUUAAUAUAAACACAUGAAGUGUCGGGGGAAUAAUUAAAAGCAUAUGGAAAGAUCCGCCGGCAUUAAUUCCGCUACAAGCGAAAUGAUUGAACCCAUCGUACAAAACUGCCCCCACUCAAAUGAACGUGAUUAGACGCUAUUAACUUAUAAUAUUAGCCGUACGAAAUAAAUGUGCGUGUCAUAUGCGCGUGUGUGUAUGAAAGAGAUAAAGCAAGCCGAGAGAAGAAAUUAUACCCUUGGCCAGAAGCACAACUGGCAGCCCCGUGGACCACACCAAUCAUAAUUUUUAUUUUUGUGAACUUACAUUUUAUCGUACAGCUUGGAUUAUUCCAAUAACGCAUCAUUGAUAUAAUGCACUUGAUCUAGGGUAUAUUUUCUCGAGCGAGAGCAAGAGGUAAACAGAAAAAUUAUAUCCUACGUCCAAUCAGUAUUUUGGCCAUGUGUAUCAGCUCAGCAAACAAAAAAAAAAAAAAAGACUUUCCAAACGAAUACUCUGCCCCUCCUCUGAAACCCUAGCCUAGCACUCUUCCUCCCCUCUCUACUUUCUUCUUUUGCCUUGCCUUCCACCUCUAGCCAUGUAGCUUCCGCAUCUUGGUAGCCCAAUGAGAGCCGCAGUAAGGAUAAGCUCCGAGCACUCUGCAUGCUCUUAUGUAGUUCGUCAAUGAUGGAAUCAUCGAUCAAAUAUUGUCAAAGCUUCGAAAGAAGCAAUCUAGUAGGAGCCGCACUGAGGAUGAGGAGCUUUGAGCUGUCCAUAAACCCUUAUCCAAGCCUAGCAUUGGGAGAGACUGGAGGCCAUGAAAGAAGAGGAAGAGGGCUAGAAAGUGGAAGCCACAUUUUUUUCCCCUCUUUGAGUUCAUCAUGUUCAUGUGAUGGCCUAUUAUUGACUUGGUGCACGCUAAGUUGGGACAUCGGAUGUAGGGUAUAAUUGUGAUAUACAUGUGAUAUGGGAUAUAAUUGUGAUAUCAAUGUGAUACAGGGUAUAAUUGUGUGUGUGUAUGUGUGUGUGUGUGUGUGUGUGUGAGAGAGAGAGAGAGAGAGAGAGAGAGAGAGAGAGAGAGAGAGAGAGAGAGAGAGAGAGAGANNNNNNNNNNNNNNNNNNNNUGUGUGUGUGUGUGUGUGUGUGUGUGUGUGUGUGUGUGAGAGAGAGAGAGAGAGAGAGAGAGAGAGAGAGAGCGCUUAGUCAAGAAGUAGUGGUCCCGAGUGGGAAAAAAAAAGUUCAUGUCACGUUUUCAAGCUGGCAUGCACUCUCCGGGGCGAAAACGACAGUGUCCAAGUUUUCCUUUUGGGUCAGCAAGGAAGUCCAGAAACUCGUAACCAGCAGCCUUGCAUGGAUAAACUAAGGUCCAUGUCUUAUUUUUCAUUUGAAUCACAGUUGCCAAGUCCAGUAACGCGGCACCUACUACCUAGUCUCUUCGCCUAUAUAAAGGAAGGUUGAGAGCCUGGGUGUUCUCAGACAAGGGAAGCUCAACUGGGUCGAGACACGUACGUUAGACUGAUGGAUAGGAGAGGAAGGGAGGAGGCCUCCAUGGCCUGCCUUGUUUCCACUCUCAUGGUGCUCUUUGUUUCUCUGAGCUUGCCUCUUCAGACACAAGCAAAUUAUCCUUACCCAUACAAGUCACCACCACCACCACCUCUCCACCACCACAAACCACCAACACUACCACCUCCUCCUGUUUACCACUACAAAUCACCACCUCCCCCUCCCCAUGUCUACAAGUAUAAAUCUCCACCACCACCUCCUUACCACCCCAUAUCACCAGCUCCUCCUCAUCAUCAUGCCUACAAGUAUAAAUCUCCACCACCACCUCCUUACCACCCUGCUCCUAUCUACAAGUACAAGUCACCACCUCCCCUCAUCAUGCUUACAAAUAUAAAUCUCCACCACCCCCUCUUCACCACCCUGCUCCUGUCUACAAGUACAAGUCACCACCUCCUCCUCACCAUGUCUACAAGUACAAAUCUCCACCACCCCCUCGCCAUUACAAGGCACCUUGUCCUCCUUCCCCUGUCUACAAAUAUAAAUCACCACCACCCCCUCCCUACCAUCACAUAUCACCAACCCUACCUCCCUACCACGACAAGUCACCACCACCACCCCCUCCUGUUUACAAGUAUAAAUCACCACCGCCACCUCCCUAUCACUACAAGUCACCACCACCUCCCCCUCCAGUCUACAAGUAUAAGUCUCCUCCACCACCUCCACAUGUUUAUCACUACACUUCACCUCCUCCUCCUCCCUAUCACUAUUAAGCGGCAGAACACCGUCGAAACCAA